rnacentral:rRNA from 1 species
GACGAACGCUGGCGGCGUGCUUAACACAUGCAAGUCGAACGGAAAGGCCUGCUUUCCCUUGUGGAUUGCGGGUACUCGAGUGGCGAACGGGUGAGUAACACGUGAGUGAUCUGCCCCCAACUUGGGUAUAAGCCUGGGAAACUGGGUCUAAUUCCCGAUAGGACUGCAGGGUGGUGCCUGUGGUGGAAAACGAUUUUCUAGUGGUUGGGGAUGAGCUCGCGGCCUAUCAGCUUGUUGGUGGGGUAAUGGCCUACCAAGGCGGCGACGGGUAGCCGGCCUGAGAGGGUGGACGGCCACAUUGGGACUGAGAUACGGCCCAGACUCCUACGGGGGGCAGCAGUGGGGAAUAUUGCACAAUGGGCGGAAGCCUGAUGCAGCGACGCCGCGUGGGGGAUGACGGCCUUCGGGUUGUAAACUCCUUUCGACCGCGAGGAAGCCACCUGGUUGGAAGGGUGGUGACGGUAGUGGUAGAAGAAGCACCGGCUAACUACGU